AAAGUAGCUUGCUACUUUUGCCGGCGAGCGGCGGACGGGUGAGUAAUGCCUGGGGAUCUGCCCAGUCGAGGGGGAUAACAGUUGGAAACGACUGCUAAUACCGCAUACGCCCUACGGGGGAAAGGAGGGGACCUUCGGGCCUUUCGCGAUUGGAUGAACCCAGGUGGGAUUAGCUAGUUGGUGGGGUAAUGGCUCACCAAGGCGACGAUCCCUAGCUGGUCUGAGAGGAUGAUCAGCCACACUGGAACUGAGACACGGUCCAGACUCCUACGGGAGGCAGCAGUGGGGAAUAUUGCACAAUGGGGGAAACCCUGAUGCAGCCAUGCCGCGUGUGUGAAGAAGGCCUUCGGGUUGUAAAGCACUUUCAGCGAGGAGGAAAGGUUGGCGCCUAAUACGUGUCAACUGUGACGUUACUCGCAGAAGAAGCACCGGCUAACUCCGUGCCAGCAGCCGCGGUAAUACA
rnacentral:rRNA from 1 species